GGAGUUAGCCGGUGCUUCUUCUGCGAGUAACGUCACAGCUAGCAGGUAUUAACUACUAACCUUUCCUCCUCGCUGAAAGUGCUUUACAACCCGAAGGCCUUCUUCACACACGCGGCAUGGCUGCAUCAGGGUUUCCCCCAUUGUGCAAUAUUCCCCACUGCUGCCUCCCGUAGGAGUCUGGGCCGUGUCUCAGUCCCAGUGUGGCUGAUCAUCCUCUCAGACCAGCUAGGGAUCGUUGCCUAGGUGAGCCAUUACCUCACCUACUAGCUAAUCCCACCUGGGCUUAUCCAUCAGCGCAAGGACCGAAGUUCCCCUGCUUUCCCCCGUAGGGCGUAUGCGGUAUUAGCAGUCGUUUCCAACUGUUAUCCCCCACAAAUGGGCAAAUUCCCAGGCAUUACUCACCCGUCCGCCGCUCGUCAUCUUCAAAGCAAGCUUUUGAAAUGUUACCGCUCGACUUGCAUGUGUUAGGCCUGCCGCCAGCGUUCAAUCUGAGCCAUAAUCAAACUCUGA
rnacentral:rRNA from 1 species